rnacentral:rRNA from 1 species
GACAGAGGCCUCAAGCGUUAGGCGGAAUCACUGGGCUUAAAGCGUGUGUAGGCGGAUCGUUAAGUGUCUUGUGAAAUCCCACGGCUCACCCGUGGAACGGCUGGGCAUACUGGCGAUCUUGGGCCAACUAGGGGCAACUGGAACAAGCGGUGGAGCGGUGAAAUGCGUAGAUAUCGCUUGGAACGCCGAAGGUGAAAACAGGUUGCUGGGGUUGUGCCGACGCUGAGACACGAAAGCCAGGGGGAGCAAACGGGG